rnacentral:lncRNA from 1 species
UGUUGAAUGAGGCACAAGUGGGUUAAGCGACUAGGGCUCUAACUUACACAGGGGUCGGGCUACACUCCACUUCACUGCCUCCCCCAUAAUCAGCGAGGCCCCACACACCUCGCUGCUACUGUUUUCAUGUUGUUGUUGCUGCAGCAGCAUCCUGGCCCCAACACAGCUAUUCUGCUUGAUCCCACAGAUCCGGGUCUCCCUGGGGAUGGUCCUGCUCCGUCAACCACCCUUCGCUUGGGCUAUGGCAGUGCCCCCAACAGUACAGCACAUCCUGGAGCCAGGCAUUGUACCGCAGGGAUUUCCAGGUCAGCUGGUACCCAGCACUGCAGGCUGACCAGGGAGCAAUGGUUUUCCCAUCCUCAACUGGGAAACUGGUCAGCGAGUCCGCUCACAAGGCAGGGGGGACAUGACAGAAACGAAGUCCACACUUCGCUGAAGCGAACCUUUUCCCAGAGCUGGUUCUCAGGAGAGGCGGCCGGACCAACAGAGAGCUGAUACCCAGCUGCCAGCGCGAGAGCGGCAGAGAGAGAGGGUUGGAAGGGCCCUCGCUGUAGUUGUUUCUUCUCCGUGUGUUCCCAUUGGUAAGUCCAAGCGGGUCCCUCAGCAGCUGGGCUGAGCGCGUGCGACAGCCACAGAGGUCAAAAGAUGACAUCUCGAUCCAGCUUCUUCAUAUGAAAACAGCUUUACUUAUAGAAACAACUUCACCCUCACAAGCAAUUCAUUUUUGUCGUAAGCCAGUGGAUCUGAAAUCACAUGGAACUAGCACACAACACUGUAGCCGUGAAGAGCUGGGCUGAUGACCCUGCAGCUCAGUAAGCACCGCAAACGUGGGCGGAGCACGAGAGGCCUGAGCGUUUCUCCACUCGCUGGGGCAGAGGGCACGUCUCCCCGCCCUCUCCAGCUUUCCAGAGCGGAUCAAGGGUCCAGCCGCGCGUUGUCUCUUCCAGCCACGGCUGACAUCAAAUUCGCCUGCCUGCAUUGCUUUCAGAAAUAAUUAGGUGUUGAAAGCUCUGACUAGAAGGAUUAGGGAUCUGAAUAACAACUUGACAGAUCAAAUCAAGUACAUUCGGAUUUGAUUACAUUACUAAGUCAAUCAUUACUUCUUGUCACAUUAAUUACAGCAAGAGUUAUAAAAUCUGUCUUCCGAUAAUUCCCUAACUGAAUCACGAUGGCCACAUCCUCGUGGUGAAUCUGUGUAAUGUCAAGGGUACACGUUUGUGCCGACAGUGGAAGAGGGGCGGGACGGGUUUUGUGUUAAUUUAUCUAUUGAAUGUUUAUUAAGCAGGUGUUGUGUGUUGGGUCUGGGCUUAGCUACAGAUGUUGGGGAUACAAAAUAAAAAGCCCGCAGCUCCGAGGGUGAGGCA